GCGGGUCUGUCGGAAUUGGCAGACGAAGUUGAUUUAGGUUCAGCGGAUAGAAGUAUCAUAGAGGUUCAAGUCCUCUGACCCGUA
rnacentral:tRNA from 2 species